AAAGGGUAAGAAUCUUUAACUUGUGGGUAGUAUUUCAAGAAGGUGCAUCUGUUGGUAUAAUGUGGCUGCUCUCUGACAUCAUGUUCAUACAAAAUCGUUUUGUGAGAGCUCAUCCACAUUGUAUUCUGAUUUAUCUGUUGAGACUCACCAAAUGCAAAAUAAAAAAAUUAAAUUGUCAUUUCUCUUGUGAUUUUAAUUGUAGAAAUAUCAACUUCUUCAGAACAUUUUGCAUUAGAUCGACACAAGUAUGUGAUCCUGUCCCGAUCGACAUAGAGAAAGGGGAAAAAGAGAGAAGGGCACCGUUUCCAUACCUCUGUGCGAAGGUUACACUGCUCAUACUUCUCAUUAUCAGAUUCGUCCAUUACAUGGACACAUAUCUAGCUGAAGGUAAGACAGGGGCUGGAAGGAAGAAAUACAUUUUCUGAAGGUAACAGAACCACUUCACUACCUGUACUAACGUGUCCAUAUGGUACUUUGUUCCUCUUACAGGUGUUAUGCCGUUGAUUGAAGCAGAAUAUGAACUCUCCAUUGACAAAGUUGCGAGAGUAGAAACAUGUUUUGCUAUUGUUUUUGCCUUGGUCAAUCCAUUCUUUGGACAUCUAUCAGAUCAGAUCAGCCGGAGGACCCUCAUGUGUCUGGGAGUAACGUAUUGGACUCUGUUUGUUGCGAGCUGUUCCAUAAUUCCCCAGGAGGUAAGAGUCGAUGUAUUGGAUGGUCAAUGAGAUUUCACUUCGCGUAUAACCUGUACUCAGUAAUAUUAAUUCUUCAUGAAUCCUAACUUAUAAAAAUUUGUACCCUCUUAUCCUUUAGUGGGGUUGGACCAUCCCUUUUAUACGGAGUGCCGUGGCCGCAAUAGAAAGUUUUUUUGCAGGCAUUUCCCUGACCCUGAUUGAUGACCUGUGCCCACCUGAAAAUCGACGAGGGACUUUAUGCAUGUUUAACAGUUUCAGCUAUAUAAUGGGGUAAGCUGCAAGUUGUACCUGGAUUCCUGCUACAUUCCUGUUGGUUUGUGUGUGGAUUCUGUUAUAUUAACCCUGAAUCUCCUUGGUUCUGUUACAGUGCCUUUGGGAUCGUUGUGGGAGCAAUUGUGCCAGUCUACUUAGGCUCAAACUGGCGUCUUGCACUGCAGGUAAGGAAAAUUCAACCGGUUACCAUUAAUUAUAUUGGGGUGAUGAGAAGAUACAAUUGAAUAUUGGCUAAACAUUAAAAGACAAAUAAAACAGUGGUUGUUGUGAGAUAUUAGCCUUUUACUAUCAGUUUAGUUGAUUGGAUACUCUACAUGAAAAGAGAUACAUGGCUGGGUACUUAACUGCUGUUUUCUUUGAACACAGACAGUUGCAGGCUUGGGAUUAGUGUGCCUAGUGUUGCUAAUCUGUUUCAUGAAGGAACCACCUAGAUGCUACACUGAGGACCACAGUGAUGACCCUCAGAUGCAGAUCCUCAGUUUUCAAUAUAUUUGGAAGUUGACCUCCUCCUUCUUCAAAAAUCUGAGGAUACUAUUUAAAAUGUGAGUAUUAUUUAUGAUAAAUAACAAUCAAAUGGAAAAUUGCAGAAGAUGUAUAUAUAUUACUAAUCCCUCUCCUCCACUUUCAGACGGAGCUUUGUUUUUCUCACCUUCGCUUCAUGGUCCGUGACGUUCAUUAAUGAAGCCAUGUUUGCCCUUGUUCCUGAUUUCCUGAACCAAACCAGGGCCGUGACAAGCAGUUUGUUUCCCUGUCUGUUGCCAGAUUGUUACUACAGCGACUUCAUGAUCUAUGGUUUGAUUAAAUACAUGGCUGACAUAGUGGGGAUUCAAAUAGGAAUGGUGAUCAUCACUCGGUGGUUCAAGAUGUAUCCAUUCGCUGAUCGACUGGUAUCCGGUUUAGGACUUUUGGCCUCUGGAUCUUUCAUAUGCAUCUUCUUUUUCAGUGUAGAAAUCAGCUUUACCCUUGCCUAUGGGUUCAUCUUUGUAGGUGGCGUUCUACUGAAUAUAAACCAGGCUGUAGCUACUGACAUGAUACUGUCGGUAGUAAUGCCAAAUUCCCGAGGCACAGCAAUAGCCUUGCAGUCUUUUAUAGCACAGUUAGGAGGAGGGGUAUUUGCUCCAUUUAUCAUUGAGAAGGUAAGUGCAUUUGAUUCCCCUUAAGAUUUUAAACUCUAGCAAACCCAACCUUUUAGCUUUAUAUCUGAGCCACUGUAAAUGGUUUGUUAUCAUAGUGUCUCUCUGCUGUGCAGUCCUGUGUAAUAUGUCACCACUUUAUAAACAUGCAACAAUUAACUUCUAUGUCUUUUAUCAGAUUUCUGAGGUGAUCCAGAUGUGGCAACCAGAAACCAGCCCAAUGCACUGCUUGCAACAUGCCUUGAUAAUAUUGCCAGUUCUGGCAGUGAUUGGAGGAUGCUUCUUCCUCUGUACAAUCUUUUAUGAAGAGGAUCGGAAAGUAGUUGAACAGGCCCGCACCCCAAGCCCACCACCUGAAUUGAACCUACAGGACAUACUGGUGUACGACUCUGAAGAUCCUGGAUAUGCUGCUCAGCCUUCUCUAGAAUUGGCUCCUGAGUCUCCAGAUCCUGCUGCAGAACUACCUGCUCAGCCCCCAGAUCUUGAUACAUGCAGGUUCUGCUGCUUUCCCUUUCUAGGACUGGCUCCUAAGCUUUCAGAUCCUUCUCCAGAGAUACCUGCUCAGCCUCUAGAUCCUUCUCUAGGACUGGCUCCCGAGCCUCCAGAUCCUGCUCCAGAACUACCUGCUCAGCCUCCAGAUCCUUCUGUAGGACAUACCCAUACACAAUUGGAGAUGACAUAGUGAUAUUGCAGAUUUAAUGGCAACAGAAGAUAAUAACAGGAACAGGCAUAAAUCAAAAACAAGCUCAAACCAAGGUCAUUACCAUUAAAUCCAGGAGGGCAAGGAAUGCUGGAACAAGAACACUGGAACAAGGAAUUCAGGAAUACAGGAACAAGGAAUGCAGGUCAUACAGGAACACACACAAUGACUCGGCCCUGGGCAAUGCUCAGGGCUGGGUUUAUAAAGGAAUGGUGAUGAGAAAUGGGAAACACAUGAGGGAAACUAUGCGGGUGGAGAACAGGGAGGAGAAAACUAUAGACAGGGAGAACACCUGAACAUAUAGCAUAGGAACCAGGACCAGCCCUAAGAGCCUCCAGUGGCUCAUGGAGUAAGUGCAGGACACUGGAACAAGGAAUUCAGGAAUACAGGUCAUACAGGAACACACACAAUGACUCAGCACUGAGCAAGGCUCAGGGCUGGGUUUAUAAAGGAAUGGUGAUGAGGAAUGGGAAACGAUGUGGGUGGAGAACAGGGAGGAGAAAACUAUAGACAGGGAGAAUACCUGAACAUAUAGCAUAGGAACCAGGGCCAGCCCUAAGAGCCUCCAGUGGCUCAUGGAGUAAGUGCAGCACACAGGGUUCAAGUCCCGGGCUGGUCCUUACAUUACCCCCCCUUUAGGAUCGACCACCGGGCAAUCCCAAAGUCGAAUGCCCCCCCAUACUUUUUAGUCCAAUAAGUGGAACACUACUAGGACCCGGAAUGGGGGCAUCAAAAGGAACAGAAACCACUUCGCAAGAGUCAUGAACCACCUCUCCAGGAUCAGGGACCAGAGCAGAAACAUCACAGGCACCCAUUACAGGUGGUGGACCAGGAACCAGGAGGCGCCCAUUCCGAUUAGAAGAAAAGAGGUUCCACCUAAAUAUUCGGAAGGGGUUUUUUACAGUGAGAGCUGUGAAGAUGUGGAAUUCUCUCCCU